rnacentral:rRNA from 1 species
UACGGAGGGGGCUAGCGUUGUUCGGAAUUACUGGGCGUAAAGCGCACGUAGGCGGCUUUGUAAGUUAGAGGUGAAAGCCCGGGGGCUCAACCCCGGAAUUGCCUUUAAGACUGCAUCGCUAGAAUUGUGGAGAGGUAAGUGGAAUUCCGAGUGUAGAGGUGAAAUUCGUAGAUAUUCGGAAGAACACCAGUGGCGAAGGCGACUUACUGGACACAUAUUGACGCUGAGGUGCGAAAGCGUGGGGAGCAAACAGG